ACCGAACAACAAGUCGGUCUGCCGAGCAAUAUCACCCGCUCGGCGGAAGGUCUUCCCUUUUUCGU
rnacentral:pre_miRNA from 1 species